UACGUAGGUGACAAGCGUUUGUCCGGAUUUACUGGGCGUAAAGAGCGCGCAGGCGGUCGGAUCAGUCGAAUGUGAAAGCCCCCGGCUCAACUGGGGAGGGUCAUUCGAUACUGUCCGACUCGAAGGCAGGAGAGGGAAGCGGAAUUCCCGGUGUAGUGGUGAAAUGCGUAGAUAUCGGGAGGAACACCAGUGGCGAAGGCGCUUUCUGGCCUGUUCUUGACGCUGAGGCGCGAAAGCUAGGGGAGCGAACGGG
rnacentral:rRNA from 1 species